GGAAAAGCAGGUGCUCGCGCAUUCGCGCUUAGAGCACGCUGCUUCAAGGGGAAAUCAUGACACUCGAUGACUUUGCUUAGAUCCGGUAAAGCGGAUUUAGACUUGUCCGUGGCCAGAAAUAAAGAAAUGAUUGCUGGUGACUUUCUGAGAAAAGCUCACCGACUCACCAACAGCUGCGUGGAAAUGGGAAAGUGCGUCGGCCAGCUGUCCGCCAGCCAGGAGCUUCUUCCCCAUCUCCAGGUGUAGGAAUAUGAAGGCUUGGCUACAAUGAUGUUUAAAGAAGAUAACCACAGCGCAGGACAUGGUUUCCUCACAUGCAUAUGAUAAAAUCAGCUGCUGAUUUGGUCCUUUUAAUGUGUUCUCACUGAACAUGAGACUAGUUAAGCAAUGAAGGCAAUACAUCCCAGACCAUAAUAUUUUCUGGACACGUCUUGGACACACUUUAUUUGAACUUCCAAUACACCAGGCACAAGAACGGUUUCUUUCCAGAGGCCUUCAUUCAUGGCCCUUAAAGAGUAUUCUUAAUCUUCAAUACAAUGUCACUGUGACCUGUGAUAUACAUAUCAGUUAUUGUAUAAACGAUUACAAUUAUUUAUUAUACAUAUUUUUUGCAUUUAGCAAUUUCAUUCUUUACAUAUAAGUCAUAUAUUACAAGGAACAACUCCAAUUUAUUGUUGUUGUUUUGUUGUGUUUAUCUAGGCUAGUUAAUAUUAACUAUGUAAACACAACAAAACAACAACAACCAUAAAUUGGUUAUAGAUAUUGCGAUAAAUUAGGUCACAAUACACUUUUCUAUGAUGUUGUAGGUAAGGUGAUAUCCAUCCAUCCAUCCAUCUUCAAUACCACUUAUCCUUCAGGGUCACGGGGAACCUGGCGCCUAUCCCAGGGAGCAUCGGGCACAAGUAUAUCCUGGACAGGCCAAUCCAUUACGGCACAAUCACAUACACACUCGCACACCCAUUCAUACACUACGGACACUUUUAGACAUGCCAAUCAGCCUACCAUGCAUGUCUUUGGACUGGGGGAGGAAACCGGAGUACCCGGAGGAAACCCCCACAGCACGGGGAGAACAUGAAUACUCCGCACACACAGGGCCGCAGUGGGAAUCGAGCCCCCGACCCUGGAGUGAGGCGAACGUGCUAACCGUUAAGCCACCAUCCAUCUGGUAUUGUGAUAUCUUUUUUUAGUAAUUACAAAAUAAAUAGAAUUGAAUGGAAGCAGCUAAUUAUAUGUAAAUUUGCUGGGUUUUUAAAAAGCCUAAUCUUUCAAAUAUCUCCCUCCUUUUUAAAAAAAACUAAUUUUCAGUGUUAGAAUUUAGUUUUUAAAUGUUAAAUGUAAAUUUAAAGUAAAUGUAAUGUACUUUAAAUCUAUUAAUUUAUUUUACAUCCCCCCCCCUCUGUUUACACGUUUUCACAUCACGGCUACUUUGGUGACAGUUUGUUAGCUAAAUUAUAUAGCAUGAUACAUAUCCCUGCUUGAGUGUGCGGGCAUACUUGGCCAAUAAAACUGAUCCUGAAUCUGAUUCAGAAAAAUGGCAGUGAUCCGUACGGAAGCCGAAGGAAUCGACUCUUAUUGAAGAGCUGAGCCAAAGGAUUCGGUUCACUUAAAAGAGCCAGUGCUUUCCGUCACUGAAGGACGUGAAGUGCGCGGUGAAAAAGCAUCAUAAUGGACGCUACAGUGGCAUAGGGUGAGGUUGUGGGGAGGCUGCCCCAUGUGCUCUUCUGUGUGGAGUGUCUCUGCUCUCUGGAGUGUCCUCAGGACUCCAACUCUGUCCCCUCAGUCAGCUGUCCCGAGUGUACAGUGAGCACUGUUCACAACUCCUGUCCAUGCAGCCAUCACUCCCUUACUGCGCUACAGCAUGUCAACCAGCUUUCACAACUCUUUUUAGGGAAAGUAGCUAAAGCAUGCUCAAUUUGUCACCAGAUGACACCAUAGACUAAUUUUUUCUAAUUACUUAUGAUAUGGCAAUGAAUAUUACUAACUAGUUUUAAAAAAGAAAGCGAGGCAGAUAGGGUGCUGAUACUUGUAGAGUUGCAUAGAUAUAUCAUGAACAUGCACAUUUUUUAACGUGUUUACAAAUGAAGAAGGCAGGCAAAGUCGUGAAAGGUGAGUAGUCUGAAGGAAAUGGUUACUCGUUUGUAAGUAUCAACAAGAAAAGUGUUUAAAAUGAAGAACUAUGGGACAGUAAAGUUAUUAAAACAUAACUUUCUCAGAAUUACUAAGUAGAUAACACUAGUUGGUCAUUACUACACCCCAUAACGUUAGAUACGUGUGUCUGAGUUUAGUAUUUAUGCAGACCUUUUAUUUAUUUUUUUAUGCCUCCACCACUAAGUCUGUCCAUCCGUCUAAGGUUCUCGUUAAUGCAAUAUCUCAAGAACCAGUGGUUGAAUGUUUGUAGGAAUUCUAUAGACUAUAUAGUUGUUGUAACUAGCAGAUAACUCGAUUAUUAUUUGGAAUUGAUCCAAAAAUAAACGAGGUCACAGCAGUUUCAUGUUUAGGAACUCAAGGCCCUUUAUUGUUUUUUUUGGCUAGCUACGGUUUUGCCAUCAUUCCAUGCUUCUGUGCGUCCUUGCUUUUGCAUGAGAUUCUUGUUUAGUGUGACAUCUCAAGAACGAAAGGUUGAAUGUUUUAUAGUGUAGCAGCAGCGGCAGGUGGAACACAGACAGAGUGAGACUGGUUAAGAGAGCUUUUAUUUUGUAGAAUGGGAGUGCAGAAGGGCCAUGGGACACUCUGUCCUGGGGCAGCAGUCUGUGAGGGAGGUGUUAGAGAGGAGUGUGGUCGCUAUGGGCCAGGAAGAGCGGUGUAGGCCGGUAGCAGAGUGCGGAGGAAGCGUUGGUAGUGGGGAUGAGGGCUCUUGGGGGGAGAGACUUGCUGUCGUCAUCGUCAUCUGCAAGACAUAGAACAGAAUUGAUCAGCAUAGACACCUAGACAAAAGCUGCUCAAGCUGCUGAGGUUGUGAUGCCUUUUUAUCCUCUCCAGUCUUCUCUGAGAGGGUGAGGAGUUGCAGUGUUUAUCUGCCGCAAGUUGUGCUCUAUUUCCCCACCUCAUGCUCUGCUGCAGUCGACAACAGUGAUGCUGAAAUGACUGUCUGUUCAGCACCUGGGUGGCAGGAGUGUGAGGAGCGUUUUUCACCUCUUCAACAGGUUCACGUGGUACCUGUACGUUUCUGCUCGCUUACAGGCUGCUGAAGACGUUAUUGUCAGCUGCUGGAGGCUGGCCUCCAUUAGUUGCUGCAGCAUGGAAUCCAUGUUUUUAUUUUUAAAUUUUUUAUUAUCAUUAUAUAUUUUUUCCUUUAUUUUUUAUUUGGCCGGGUCUGUGCUCAUUCCCACAUUCUUCACCAGACUUACAAAUGAGAAAAUACAAAAUGCAAGCAAAGCAGUAUAUCAAGCAGAGAACACUGCAUGUAGUGCUACAAUAGAAGAUUUUUAAUUGAGUUCUAGAAGAUGCAAAAAUGUAAUCAGCCCUGAGAUUCUAACCAGUGACCUUGGCGUUCUUAACACCACGCACUAACUAGCUGAGCUACAUUGCCAUAUAUAUAAUAUAUCAUAAUAGUUUCGAAGAGAAUUUUUAAGCGAAUAUUUUUAAGUGUCCAAAAUUAUAUGGACAACGCUCCGUGCAGCGGGGAAAGCACUCAGACAUAGCCCGGGGAGGGAGCAUCAUGUCGCACAGACUCUGGCCAGCUCCAGGCCGAUCAUCGCUAAUUUUUUCCCUGGGCGUUGAAGAGUUACCAUUGAUGAAAUUGUUACUUUACAUUUAUUUGGUAAAAAGCUUAGACUUUUCUGGAACAUUUGGCCGUUAGGGGCGAUGAAGAGUUCCCGGAUAGCAAGCACAUUUGGGCCGAUUCUGGUAGAAAUGCGCCCCUGUCGGCUCAAUGCCGGUAUCGGUGAAAAGGUAAUUGCCCAGAGCCCUGCUGACCGUUCACACCACUUCUCGCUGACAGACGGUUUUUGCUAUGUGGGCCAAUCUCGGCUGAAAGCAGGUGUACUUGCGGCAGGUCCAUACUCGGUGUAGCGGUGUGUAUCUGCUUUUUCGAGUUCAUUAAGUCACAGACAGGCCACAGCUAAAAUUAAGGAGCUCAGCAGCCUGGAAAAAACUUUUGACGGUUAAAUCAGUUAGGAUACUCGAGGCUGCAGUCAUUCUUCGUUUUCAAGAGGAAUCAUUUCAGCUGAAGAAGACAGCGAUAAAGAGGGCAGGACCCGGUCAGACCUCCAGUCAGACGUGGAAGUGUCUGGGUAAAGACCACCAAGGUGUAAAACAUGCAGAUAUUUGUUCAGCACAUCGCUAUUGCUAUUCCCUCAUGCUUUGAGAGCAUAUUCAAAGUUGUAUUUUUCAUGAAACAUUGUAGAAUUUGGCAAUAUAGUCAAUAUUUUAGACUCUUUCACAGAGUCUGGAAAGAGUGGAGGAUAUGCCAUGUGAGCGUAUUCUUCUGCUUUCUGAUUGACUUUCUUUUGUAGGUAUUAAUUAACCAUGAUUUCCACUCAGCCAUCUUACUGGAAUUGUGUAGGUUAGGAAUAAGACUGAGGAUGGAGUUGUACAGUUUUGUAGUGUGUAUCAUUUGUAAAUAUUGUUAACUUCUUUACCAUAGCCAUGCUGAGGGAGGUGUUGACUAAAUUAGAGAUGGUGCUGGACCAACAAACCACUGAGAUUGCUUCAACUACAGGAGGUCCAGGUGCAGCCUUUGGAUAUUGAUGAAGAUUUACUGCCCUGCAAGACCUUCCUCAACUGCAUAGUCUGGAGCGAAGGAUGCAACAGAGCCCAGAUUACAAGCAAAAUCUGUUCAUAGAAACCUCUUUACGGCUAAUGCUGCAGAGAUGGAGGCCGAGGGGACCAUGAAGAGGUGGCUCCAGCUGGCAUCAGAUCAAGAGUGUGGGUGCAAGAGAAGUCUUUUGCAAAAGGAAGCUGGGUGGGUACACAGUUGCGGUCGGAAGUUUACAUACCCCUUGCUGAAUCUACAAAAUAUUAAUGCUCUUAACAAAAUAAGAUUGAUCCUGUGCAAUCGUUGGGAACUCCAUUGUGCGAAACGUCCGCGUCGCUUCAACAAGGGGUAAGGUGCACACACAGUUUUUCUUUUGCUUGUGUCCUUGAUGUCGCUGAGCAGCUACCAGGAAUCCUGAAGAAGGACGAGUGCAUUGGAGCAGUCGUGCUGCACGUGGGGGCAAACAUCAGGCUGAGGCAGACGGAGGUUCUGAAGAGGAACUUCGCCAGCCUGAUCGAGACGGUACGAGGCAGAUCACUAACCGCGAAGAUCAUCGUCUCUGGACCUCUUCCCUCAUACAGAUGUGGAGCUGAAAAGUUCAGUAGACUUCUAGCACUAAAUGAUUGGUUAGUUUCUUGGUGUAAUUAACAGGAAUCUGCUGUUUGUUAAUAACUGGAAUCUGUUCUGGGAGCGUCCUAGGUUGUUUCAUCCUGAUGGCCUGCACUCCAGCAGCUUCGGAGCGGAACUGCUGUCAGACAACAUCUCCAAGACACUACAAACCAAGUGACUGCCUACCGUCAAAUUAUUCGUAAACAUGGAAUGAAUUUCCACUGUUAUGCUGAUGAUACAGAGCUGCAUGUUUGCAACUGAACAAGAACAACAAUAAACAACAACUGAAGAAUAGCGAAAAACUUCAACUGUUUUCGUGCUUACUUGAAGACGAUGAGGCAGAGCAGCAUCGGAGAGACAGUUCGCUCCAUUCUCCAAAGAAUCGGGGAGAACAGUCUGUGGUGUAUGUUUUUGUUGAAAGUGUCAAAAGGUGGGAAGCUGGCUUUGACUGAUCAGGAUGAAGUGUGUCGCCUUGUACACUAUAUUGCCGAACAAGCACAUGGACGUGAAUAUACUGUUGCCGGUUGCAGAGAGGCCAUCAGCAGCUACCUAAAAAAUGCCCCAGGCAGGAAAAGUGGCAAGAAACAUAUUAUGAGUGUUUAUGAUGAAGCAGAGCUACAUGGGAUCUCUAGUGCGUCCUGCAAGAAUUGGGCCUUAGUCCAGUUCAGAUUCAAUUUUGUAAUCUCAUUCCUCUCCCUCGCGUGACAGCCUCCAAACAGUACAAUUCUAAUGAGCUUGAAUAUACGGGGAAUUCCAUUGGGUUUGAUGUCUGACUAAUUAAAGACCCACCUCUUCUAUGAACACCUAACCAACUCAUAAUAAAAAAUUUUUAAAAAAAAUGCACUUACACCUCUAGUCUGCACUUUGCUUCUUCUAGAAUUCAAUGAAUAGAUCUUGUAUGGUAGCUGCUCUUGUAUUGUUCUCUGCUUGAUAUAUCGCUUUGCUUGUAUCUUUCUUAUUUGUAAGUCGCUUUGGAUAAAAGCGUCUGCUAAGUGAAUAAAUGUAAUGCAAAUGUAGUAAAUUGUUUUCUUUGAUUAGCAAUACAUAGGUACUAUAUCUGGCUGUUUUCUGUGUUACAAUAUUGAAUGUCAUUUUUCAGCUAUUCACUUUGUCUGCAUUUACUAAAAUUCAUGCAUGUUUAUUAAAA